AGCGGAAGUGGCUGUACUACAACAGGAGGUCAGCGUCUCAGAGCUUUGUCCUCCUCCAUGGUCCAUGCAUGAGGUGGAGAUGGUGACAGCUUGUCACUGUGUGGAAGUCAAAAGGGUCACAGUCACAGGAAAACUGAGCCCACAAAUGAAGCCCAAGACCCCCCCCC